rnacentral:rRNA from 1 species
ACAUGCAAGUCGAACGAAGUAGCAAUACUUAGUGGCAGACGGGUGAGUAACAUGUGGGUAUCUACCCUUUGGCCUGGAAUAACACGAGGAAACUUGUGCUAAUACCGGAUAAGUCUUUACAGAGAAAGCUUUAUGCACCAUUGGAUGAGCCCGCACUUGAUUAGUUUGUUGGUAGGGUAAUGGCCUACCAAGACUAUGAUCAAUAGCUGAUUUGAGAGGAUGAUCAGCCACAUUGGGACUGAGACACGGCCCAAACUCCUACGGGAGGCAGCAGUGGGGAAUCUUGCACAAUGGAGGAAACUCUGAUGCAGCGAUGCCGCGUGAGUGAAGAAGGCCCUUGGGUUGUAAAGCUCUUUCGUCGGGGAAGAAAAUGACUGUACCCGAAUAAGAAGGUCCGGCUAACUUCGUGCCAGCAGCCGCGGUAAUACGAAGGGACCUAGCGUAGUUCGGAAUUACUGGGCUUAAAGAGUUCGUAGGUGGUUGAAAAAGUUGGUGGUGAAAUCCCAGAGCUUAACUCUGGAACUGCCAUCAAAACUUUUCAGCUAGAGUAUGGAUAGAGGAAAGCAGAAUUUCUAGUGUAGAGGUGAAAAUUCGUAGAUAUUAGAAAGAAUACCCAUUGCGAAGGCAGCUUUCUGGAUCAUUACUGGCAC